AAAAAAAAAAAAGAAAGAAAAUGGUUAAAAUAGCAGAGGAAUUCUCCCCAUGCAAGGGACAGGCCAUUUCUCCUUGUCUGAUGAAAAGUUCUACAGAUGCCCCAGGUAACAGUGUGACGCUUGUUGAGCAGUGGGCCAGGCCCGGCCUGAGACAGGGUCCCCGUGUUGUGAUGGAGGGGAGGCUGGUGUCCAGGCCGCCAGGGGCACCCAGUGCUCCUUCGGGUGCUGGCUUCAUGCGUGGAAGUCGCGCAAGAGUCACGGAGGUAAAUUCAAGUUGAGUCAUUUGCAGGAUGUGCAGAGCGGGGUGGGCCCUCCAAACUUGGCAACCUUGGAGGAAAUGAUUUUAUAUUUUUUGACUCUCAUGUAACCUAGACACUCAGCUGGGACUCUAUUUCCUAUUUCAAGACUUUUCCAAACGGUUGUGUUUCCAAAGGCCUUCCUAAACACACGGCUAGGGGAAGGAACAGGGCCUGCUGCUCCAAUUCCCUCGGCUCCCAACGCCCCUCAAGUGUUUGCACAGGAAAAUGGUAGCGUAGGACACCAGGCGGGCAGGAAGCCGCGGGAAUCUCAGAAGCUGCUUUCUGGAUUUGACCUCAGGCAAUUAAAAAAUAGCAAAAUAGAUGGUGAGUGGAGAGGGUUUACGAGCUGCAGACCGGCAAGGCGCUCGCAGGCACCGAAAGACACAGCGGAGGGUCUGCCUGUGCGCACGCAGGCCUGGCAACCAGCAUUGGCUCACUGUGCGUUCCCGCACUCUCGGGGAACUUAGCCUCCCGCGGGGCAGGCAGAGGCUGGGAACUAGAGCGAGAAGGUCCGCGGGUCCAUCCCAUGGUCUCACUCCCUUUCCUCUUGUCCCCUUCCCCUUGGGGCAUUUCCAAGGCUGCAGAUGCCCCCCAUGGUGCCUGACGUCAUGCUUUGCCCAUCCCAGGCCUCCGUGGGUGAUGAGAGGCCUGAGUUGAGGCACCAGCCCCAACUGUGUGCAAUCACGCCAUUGAGCAGGGAGAGAUGGGGCUGGGGGGAAUUUCACUUGCUUUUGUUACAUUUCUGUAAUGUUUAUGUCUAAAAAUAAUCAGCAUACGUUUCUCUUCCAAUUAGGAAAACCGCAGCAAAUCAAGCCGGGAGCUGGGGCCUGGGCAGUUCAUUAUCCGGCUGGGUUCCCCGCUCAGGCAGUUCACGCGCGCAGGCCGCCCUCUGGAAGAACUGCAGCUGGAAUGAGCAAUUCUCCUGAGAAAGCGAAGACACAGGCUCACAAGGGAGAAUUCUGGGCAGAAACGGAGACGGAGAUUGGAGUGAAGCGUCCACAAGCCAAGGAGUGCCAAAGAUUGCCAGCAACCCCCAGACGCUGGAGGAGGCAGGGAAGGAACCUCCCCAAGAGCCUUUGGAGGGAGCAGGGCCCUGCUGACACCUCGAUGUCAGACGCCUGGCCUCCAGGACGGAAAGGAAGCAGGAGGCCCGGAGCCGGGAUCAGCCUCCAGCUCAGCUCCCAGGAAAAUGGGUGCACCUCGCCUCACCCCCACCCUUGGGCCCCCCCUGGCUGAGGCUCAGACCACCACAUGCGCGGCUCUCCUUGGUACCAUGCCGACCGGAGGCCAGAAUUUGGGCUGUUUUGAGCGAAUACAGGACCACGGAGCUAGAGCAGCACCCGAGGAGCUACGUGUCCCCAUCCAGGGCCACAGUCCCCAUUGCCCCAUUCAUUCAGUUGCUGCUGCCUGCCAGACACUCACAUGGAGCCUCUGAACGUGGCGUGCCCCACGUCCCACUGACAGCGCUGUGUGUGCUCCUGUAUGUGGAAACCAGGGCAAGCAGGGUGAGUGACUUGUCCACUGUCAUGCAGCUGCUGUGCGGUGGGGCUGGGAUUGCACCCAGGGACUGACCCAAGCCCCUGCCCAGCCCCAGGACCCCAGAUUCUGGGCUGGCCCCUGUUCUUGAGUUUUAGGACCCCCACCACCUCCCCAGCAUUGUCAUGCUGUCUGCGUUUCUAGGCUGAAUUGUGUUCUCAUGGAGGGAGGGAACGUCCUGCCUCUUAUGCACCCACACCCCCAUCCUGCUGCCCGGGACAGUGCCAGGCUGCUGGGGGCAUUUGAUGAGAUGUGACGUGUAAAGAAUCUGAUGGUGCCUGGUACAGAGUCAUUCCUGGAGGAUGCUCAGCCUCACCCCUCCCUGCCCAUCCCACCAACAUCUCUGGCCCAGUGCAGAUCCAGCUUAACCACAGAUGUGGGUAUAGCAGGAGCAUUAUUCU